UCCGUUGCACGGAUCAAAAUAUAACCACAUAAGUCCAAAAUAAGGCUCUCGAAGCCAUCAAAAACCACAAUAUUGCAUAAAUGAUACCAAAAUGCAUCAAAAAUAAUGUCAACCACUCCCGCAUCCCAGAAAUACCAUAAUGCAACUACGGGAAGGGGUUUAAAUAGUUAAAUCACACAAAAUUAUAAAUUUCACAUAUUCAUCAAAUUUUUAGGUCGUUACAGGUGUAAUGUUAUCUUUUUAUCGUAUGACCCUGGUUUUCUGGAACUGGGCGAUAUCCCUUGAAAGACAAAAAUGCUAUUCCUUCUUCCAUCCAUGGAUGAGUUGAAAAGUUCAAUGUUAACAUUGUUUUAAUUUCUUUGAUUAUAUACAAUCCAUGCUAUAAUAAUGUUAUUGUUUUUUUAUUACUUUUCCUAUUACUACUUCCUAACUAAUUACUGGUCAUGAUUGAAACACUUAUUCCUCUCCUAAUGUUGCAGCUGAAAGAUUACGGACUAACUGGCUUGAUAAUGACAAUAGACGUAAGCAAAAUCCCUAUCUUUCGAAAGAAAUUGCAUUCUUUAAUAGACGAGUGAUGAUUUGACGAGAAAUUUUACCUUAUAAUUGGUUCAAUUAGACCUAGGCGACUUUGGAAGAUGAACAAGUUACUAUGCGAUGCCUCAAGAUGGACAUAAAGCAGUAAUCUGUUUUUUGGCAAAUACGCGUUAUGAUCAGGGAUAUAGGUCUGUAUUUGUGUUGCGAAGGAUGUUAAUCAAGUGAGUUGAAAGGGGAAGAGUGAAGCAUGUUGUCGGUGUUAAGCUCUCCAAUUCUUUCUCAGUUAAAGCUAAUAGUGUCCUGGAUUCUCAGGUUGGUUUCAUGUUCUCCUUUAUCUAAGGUUAUGUAUAUCUCUCCAAUUCAAAAAUUUGUUAAAAAUAUGAACAAUCAGGGUAAGAGGCAUCUUUCGAUGAACUCAUAAAUUAUUUGCUCUACGGAUUUACUUCUUGUUAGUGGUGCUUUGUUUAUAUGUUGCUUUAAGAAAAUCCAUUGAAUUGUUGGGGGGUUACUUUGAUGGGUAAUGGUAUUGUUCAUGAGUAUUGAAUAUUUUACUGUUGGUGUUUUGCAGAGUUGUUCUAGUAUUCAUUUCUCAUUCUUAAAAGACCUGCUUACACUUCAUUAAGAGAAAGAAUGCAGUGGCUCACAGCUACAAGAAUAGUUUCUCAGGAAUUGCAGCACGUUUAUCAGAUGCUGAAGCUCGGUCGCUUGCUCAACAUCCCGGAGUUGUUUCUGUUUUCCCUGAUCAGGUAUUUUAACUACACAUUACGCGAUCAUGAAAUUUUCUGAAGGAUCAAUACCAUCUGCUACAUGAUAUCCCCUACAGUUCUGGUUGGAAUUCAACCUCAUCAAAUGAAGCAGAUACCAUAAUUGGCAUUUUUGACACUGGAAUAUGGCCUGAAUCAGAGAGUUUCAAUGACAAGGGUAUCGGUCCAGUUCCAUCGCGAUGGAAAGGAACUUGCAUCAGAGAUUAUGACUUCAAAACUUC